rnacentral:lncRNA from 1 species
CUCGUAUCUGUCACUUUUGUUUCCAUCUCGUGCUUCAGUUUGCGUGUUCAUCCGUCGGUAAAGAAAUCCUUUCUUCUGCGUUUCGAGGCAGGGGUCGGUGUCCCGGUUGGAGGCGUGGCAGGCGCGUGUACACCCGAAACAGUACACACUUUCGUGCUGUUUGUUUCGGUCCUUCGUGGACGCGUUCAUGUCUGUGCUCUCAACCGGACGCCCCGCCGAGAAAACGGAAGAAAGCAACCGGACUCUCGAUGUAAAAAAACCCUAAACGGAGACAGCCUGAAGGCGGGGCAUCGUGCCUUCUCUGUGCACAGAGAAACCUGUGCAGUCGAGAAGUUGCGGCGAUCUCCUGCGUUUUCUUCUGGAAAUCUUCUGGCGAAGUCACGUUUUGACUGCUGAAAAGCUCCGUGACGGCCCCUCCUUCCACCGAAAUCCUUUCUGUGGAAGUUCUCGAGGGGAGGAAGGUUUUCCUACGAAGGAACGCAAAGUCUUCACGGCACACCGACCGAGAGAAGACGUGUGCUCUCUCCAUUCACAUGUGCGUUUCUGACGGGUUUCCGCGCGUGUGCGCGCUAGUUGUGAGAUUCCCUUUUCCCUCCUAAAGUCCCUUUUGGAGAAGAAAUGGGGACUGACAACGGCGGCGAAUGCAAACCCGUGUAGGGAAGGCCUCCCGAGACGGCGGGUUGCGCCUUUCCCUACGUUCGAGGCGACACUAGUGACGGAACUCGUGGUCUUUGUCCAUAUCUCUCUCCAGCAGAGAGACACUCGAGGAUGAAGGCUCUGUUUCAGUCGCGGGUUCGAUCCCGGCCUCGACUUACUUUCCCUCGUCUGAAGACAGAAAACCGAAAAUGUGGCUCCAGGCUACACAGCCAACGCGUUUGUGUGCUUGUCAACAACUCAACACAUGUACAGUUGCAUGCAUAAUCGGUAGAAAUUCCAGUUUUUUGCUCAUUCUUGUAGGACGACAGGAUGAUGGAAAACGGUGUGGGACGGCAGGUUACGAAGCUGGGAGAUCCCCGCAGGUUGCCUCGUAGGGGUUGGUGAGAAGCGACGCCUUCCUCAUUGCGUUUGACGAUUCUCCGUUUGUGUGUGUCUUCGCAGCAAACUCCGUGGUCUUCGACGCCCUUAGUUUCCGGCUGAAGGAUCGGAUUUCUUUUGGAUCGUUUUCCCUGUUCAUUCUGCUUUCGAGAGAAGUGCGCCGAGGAAUGAAUCUGUCUCUCGUGGGGAUUGUCAGCUGUUUGCGUCUGUGGUCGGGGUCUGUACAUUGUUUCGUGUCCGUUUUGUUUCCGGCGAACAAUCCCCUCUGACGGCAGGCCUUCCUUCAAUUCUUUCCGUGCACAGAAGUGGAACUGACAGGUUGGCAGGCGUGCCUGGAAGCAUUUCUCACUUUCGCCAAAAGGGAACAGGAGCUCGCCGUCUGCAACUAGCAAUCGCUGUCAUAGCAGCCCAAGUUAGAACAGAGUGUAGAGUCAGAUUCCGGGGAAUUCGAUGCAGGUCCGGUUCCUCAUAUGUGUCAGAACCUUAAAGAGAUACAGUUGUCUCGGCUCCACACGGCUGUCUUAGGAAGCCUAGCUCUCCUCUCAUCGCUGGUGCUGGUGACGGCUGUAUUCAAGGCGGUCAUUGUCUUGAACUCCGUGUUUCAUAAUGAUGCUUCCGCCCCGUUUCUGCAAAUGGGUCAUCUAGUUUCUUUUCACCGUUUGUUUCCGGUGAUCUAUUACAACCUCAGAAGCUGGAUGUUUUGCAGCGCUUAAAAACCGG